rnacentral:ncRNA from 1 species
UGCCGUCCGGUAUGGUUUGGAAUUGGAAACAAUCCAAAACGUUGUUUUUGACGUUGGAAGCCUAACCCGGACGGCGUU